rnacentral:rRNA from 1 species
GUAUCGGAACGUGCCCAGUCGUGGGGGAUAACUGCUCGAAAGAGCAGCUAAUACCGCAUACGGCCUGAGGGUGAAGGCGGGGGAUCGCAAGACCUCGCGCGAUUGGAGCGGCCGAUAUCAGAUUAGGUAGUUGGUGAGGUAAAGGCUCACCAAGCCGACGAUCUGUAGCUGGUCUGAGAGGACGACCAGCCACACUGGGACUGAGACACGGCCCAG